GAUGAACGCUGGCGGCGUGCCUAAUACAUGCAAGUCGAGCGAACAGACGAGGAGCUUGCUCCUCUGACGUUAGCGGCGGACGGGUGAGUAACACGUGGAUAACCUACCUAUAAGACUGGGAUAACUUCGGGAAACCGGAGCUAAUACCGGAUAAUAUAUUGAACCGCAUGGUUCAAUAGUGAAAGACGGUUUUGCUGUCACUUAUAGAUGGAUCCGCGCCGCAUUAGCUAGUUGGUAAGGUAACGGCUUACCAAGGCAACGAUGCGUAGCCGACCUGAGAGGGUGAUCGGCCACACUGGAACUGAGACACGGUCCAGACUCCUACGGGAGGCAGCAGUAGGGAAUCUUCCGCAAUGGGCGAAAGCUUGACGGAGCAACGCCGCGUGAGUGAUGAAGGUCUUCGGAUCGUAAAACUCUGUUAUUAGGGAAGAACAAAGGUGUAAGUAACUAUGCACGUCUUGACGGUACCUAAUCAGAAAGCCACGGCUAACUACGUG
rnacentral:rRNA from 1 species